AUUGAACGCUGGCGGCAGGCCUAACACAUGCAAGUCGAGCGGCAGCGGGAAAGUAGCUUGCUACUUUUGCCGGCGAGCGGCGGACGGGUGAGUAAUGCCUGGGAAAUUGCCCAGUCGAGGGGGAUAACAGUUGGAAACGACUGCUAAUACCGCAUACGCCCUACGGGGGAAAGCAGGGGACCUUCGGGCCUUGCGCGAUUGGAUAUGCCCAGGUGGGAUUAGCUAGUUGGUGAGGUAAUGGCUCACCAAGGCGACGAUCCCUAGCUGGUCUGGGAGGAUGAUCAGCCACACUGGAACUGAGACACGGUCCAGACUCCUACGGGAGGCAGCAGUGGGGAAUAUUGCACAAUGGGGGAAACCCUGAUGCAGCCAUGCCGCGUGUGUGAAGAAGGCCUUCGGGUUGUAAAGCACUUUCAGCGAGGAGGAAAGGUUGAUGCCUAAUACGUAUCAACUGUGACGUUACUCGCAGAAGAAGCACCGGCGAACUCCGUGCCAGCCGCCGCAGUAACAC
rnacentral:rRNA from 1 species